rnacentral:rRNA from 1 species
UACGUAGGGACCGAGCGUUGUCCGGAAUCAUUGGGCGUAAAGAGCGUGUAGGCGGCUAUUUAAGUCCUGCGUGAAAUCCUGCGGCUCAACCGCAGACGGUCGUGGGAAACUGGAUGGCUAGAGUCCGGAAGAGGAGAGUGGAAUUCCUGGUGUAGCGGUGAAAUGCGCAGAUAUCAGGAAGAACACCCGUGGCGAAGGCGGCUCUCUGGGACGUGACUGACGCUGAGACGCGAAAGCGUGGGGAGCGAACAGG